rnacentral:rRNA from 1 species
UGCAGUCGAACGGGAAGUCCCCGCAAGGGGAUGAGUAAAGUGGCGACCGGGUGAGUAACACGUGACUAACCUACCCUUGAGUGGGGGAUAACCUAGGGAAACCUGGGCUAAUACCGCAUAACGUCUUUGGAUCGGAAGAACUGGAGAUCAAAGGAGCAAUUCGCUUAAGGAGGGGGUCGCGGCUGAUUAGCUAGUUGGCGGGGUAAUGGCCCACCAAGGCUUUGAUCGGUAGCCGGCCUGAGAGGGCGCACGGCCACACUGGAACUGAAACACGGUCCAGACUCCUACGGGAGGCAGCAGUGGGGAAUUUUGCGCAAUGGGGGAAACCCUGACGCAGCAACGCCGCGUGGAGGAUGAAGUCCCUUGGGACGUAAACUCCUUUCGACCCGGACGAUAAUGACGGUACGGGUGGAAGAAGCCCCGGCUAACUUCGUGCCAGCAGCCGCGGUAAUACGAGGGGGGCAAGCGUUGUUCGGAAUUAUUGGGCGUAAAGGGCGCGUAGGCGGUGCGACAAGUCACCUGUGAAACCUCUGGGCUUAACCCAGAGCCUGUGCAGUCGAACGGGAAGUCCCCGCAAGGGGAUGAGUAAAGUGGCGACCGGGUGAGUAACACGUGACUAACCUACCCUUGAGUGGGGGAUAACCUAGGGAAACCUGGGCUAAUACCGCAUAACGUCUUUGGAUCGGAAGAACUGGAGAUCAAAGGAGCAAUUCGCUUAAGGAGGGGGUCGCGGCUGAUUAGCUAGUUGGCGGGGUAAUGGCCCACCAAGGCUUUGAUCGGUAGCCGGCCUGAGAGGGCGCACGGCCACACUGGAACUGAAACACGGUCCAGACUCCUACGGGAGGCAGCAGUGGGGAAUUUUGCGCAAUGGGGGAAACCCUGACGCAGCAACGCCGCGUGGAGGAUGAAGUCCCUUGGGACGUAAACUCCUUUCGACCCGGACGAUAAUGACGGUACGGGUGGAAGAAGCCCCGGCUAACUUCGUGCCAGCAGCCGCGGUAAUACGAGGGGGGCAAGCGUUGUUCGGAAUUAUUGGGCGUAAAGGGCGCGUAGGCGGUGCGACAAGUCACCUGUGAAACCUCUGGGCUUAACCCAGAGCCUG